GCAAGUCGAGGGGUAACAGGAAAGAGCUUGCUCUUUCGCUGACGACCGGCGCACGGGUGCGUAACGCGUAUGCAACCUACCCUUUACUGGAGGAUAGCCCACAGAAAUUCGGAUUAAUACUCCAUGGUAAUUAUUAACCGCAUGGUUUGAUAAUUUAAAGGUUACGGUAAAGGAUGAGCAUGCGUCCCAUUAGCUAGAUGGUAAGGUAACGGCUUACCAUGGCGACGAUGGGUAGGGGGCCUGAGAGGGUGAAC
rnacentral:rRNA from 1 species